UACGUAGGGUGCGAGCGUUGUCCGGAAUUAUUGGGCGUAAAGAGCUCGUAGGCGGUGUGUCACGUCGGCCGUGAAAACCUGCAGCUUAACUGUGGGCGUGCGGUCGAUACGGGCAUCACUGGAGUUCGGCAGGGGAGACUGGAAUUCCUGGUGUAGCGGUGAAAUGCGCAGAUAUCAGGAGGAACACCGGUGGCGAAGGCGGGUCUCUGGGCCGAUACUGACGCUGAGGAGCGAAAGCCAAGGGAGCAAACAGG
rnacentral:rRNA from 1 species